AUAGAUAUAGGAAGAUGUGGUGUGAGUGCCAAUGAGACAACUCUCCAUACAAAUAACAAUUUAAAAAGUAAACCAUUAUAGGUUAAAGUACGGCCUUCAACACGGAGCCUUAGCUCACACCGAACAACAAGCUAUAAAGGGCCCCAAAAAUUACUAGUGUAAAACCAUUCAAACGGGAAAACCAACGGUCUAAUCUAUAUAAACAAAACGAGAAACGAGAAACACGUAUAUAUUACAUAAACAAACGACAACUACUGUACAUCAGAUUCCUGACUUAGGACAGGUGCAAACAUUUGCAGCGGGAUUAAACGUUUUAAUGGAUCCAAACCUUCUCCCUUUUUCUGAAACAAUAGCU
rnacentral:lncRNA from 1 species